UGGGAUAUAACUGAGUGGUAAAGUGCUUGCCUACCAUGCACAAAGGCCUGGAUUCAAUCCCCAGCACCACAA
rnacentral:tRNA from 1 species